rnacentral:rRNA from 1 species
GUAGGAAUCUUCCACAAUGGACGAAAGUCUGAUGGAGCAACGCCACGUGAGUGAAGAAGGGUUUCGGCUCGUAAAGCUCUGUUGGUAGUGAAGAAAGAUAGAGGUAGUAACUGGCCUUUAUUUGACGGUAAUUACUUAGAAAGUCACGGCUAACUACGUGCC